CUUCGGGAAACCGGAGCUAAUACCGGAUAAUAUUUUAACCGCAUGGUUCAAAAGUGAAAGACGGUCUUGCUGUCACUUAUAGAUGGAUCCGCGCUGCAUUAGCUAGUUGGUAAGGUAACGGCUUACCAAGGCAACGAUGCAUAGCCGACCUGAGAGGGUGAUCGGCCACACUGGAACUGAGACACGGUCCAG
rnacentral:rRNA from 1 species